rnacentral:rRNA from 1 species
GAUGAACGCUGGCGGCGUGCCUAAUACAUGCGAGUCGAGCGAACAGACGAGGAGCUUGCUCCUCUGACGUUAGCGGCGGACGGGUGAGUAACACGUGGAUAACCUACCUAUAAGACUGGGAUAACUUCGGGAAACCGGAGCUAAUACCGGAUAAUAUAUUGAACCGCAUGGUUCAAUAGUGAAAGACGGUUUUGCUGUCACUUAUAGAUGGAUCCGCGCCGCAUUAGCUAGUUGGUAAGGUAACGGCUUACCAAGGCAACGAUGCGUAGCCGACCUGAGCGGGUGAUCGGCCACACUGGAACUGAGACACGGUCCAGACUCCUACGGGAGGCAGCAGUAGGGAAUCUUCCGCAAUGGGCGAAAGCUUGACGGAGCAACGCCGCGUGAGUGAUGAAGGUCUUCGGAUCGUAAAACUCUGUUAUUAGGGAAGAACAAAUGUGUAAGUAACUAUGCACGUCUUGACGGUACCUAAUCAGAAAGCCACGGCUAACUACGUG